rnacentral:rRNA from 1 species
UACGGGGGGAGCAAGCGUUGUUCGGAUUUACUGGGCGUAAAGGGCGCGUAGGCGGCCACCUCAAGUCAGUUGUGAAAUCUCUGGGCUUAACCCAGAAAGGUCAACUGAUACUGCGGGGCUAGAGUGCAGAAGGGGCAACUGGAAUUCUCGGUGUAGCGGUGAAAUGCGUAGAUAUCAUGAGGAAUACCAGAGGCGAAGGCGGCUACCUGGACAAUUGCUGACGCUCAGGCACGAAAGCGUGGGGAGCAAAAGGG